AUCCACAUCCUCGAUUAAUGUUCUCUCACCUCCAUCGAUUAUUAAUCUCCAUUUAUCUCCAUCGAUUAUUAAUCUCUUCUCAUCUCCAUCUAUAUUCUCUUUAUUUGACUUUCUUAUCUGUGAGGGCUCUUUCUUUCUUUAGAUUAACCUCAUCCCAUCUCCAUCUGUAUCCUUGAUUAAUCUCCUCUCAUCUCCAUCU
rnacentral:lncRNA from 1 species